CAGCCGCCGCGGUAAUACGUAGGGUGCGAGCGUUAAUCGGAUUUACUGGGCGUAAAGCGUGCGCAGGCGGCCCGUUAAGACAGGUGUGAAAUCCCUGGGCUCAACCUAGGAAUUGCGCUUGUGACUGGCGGGCUCGAGUACGGUAGAGGGGGGUGGAAUUCCUGGUGUAGCAGUGAAAUGCGUAGAGAUCAGGAGGAACACCGAUGGCGAAGGCAGCCCCCUGGGCCUGUACUGACGCUCAUGCACGAAAGCGUGGGGAGCAAACAGGAUUAGAUGCCCUGGUAGUCCACGCCCAAAACGAUGGGUACUAGCCGUUUGGUGCGCGAUAGCGCUGAGUGGCGAAGCUAACGCGUGAAGUACCCCGCCUGGGGAGUACGGCCGCAAGGUUGAAACUUAAAGGAAUUGGCGGG
rnacentral:rRNA from 1 species